GAUGAAGAACGUAGCGAAAUGCGAUAAGCAGUGUGAAUUGCAGAAUUCAGUGAAUCAUCGAAUCUUUGAACGCACAUUGCGCCCUUUGGUAUUCCUUAGGGCAUGCCUGUUCGAGCGUCAUUUAAACCUUCAAGCUAAGCUUGGUGUUGGGUGACUGUCCGCUUCACGGCGGACUCGCCUCAAAAUUAUUGGCGGCCGGUACAUUGGCUUCGAGCGCAGCAGAAACGCGAACUCGGGCCCGUCGUAUUGGCUCCCAGAAGCUAUCUUCACAAUUUUGACCUCGGAUCAGGUAGGGAUACCCGCUGAACUUAAGCAUACAAUAGCGGAGGA
rnacentral:misc_RNA from 1 species